CCUACGGGGGGCGGCAGUGAGGAAUAUUGCACAAUGGGGGAAACCCUGAUGCAGCAACGCCGCGUGGAGGAUGACGCAUUUCGGUGUGUAAACUCCUUUUAUAUGUCAAGAAAAUGACGGUAGCAUAUGAAUAAGCACCGGCUAACUCCGUGCCAGCAGCCCCGGUC
rnacentral:rRNA from 1 species